rnacentral:rRNA from 1 species
UACGGAGGGUGCAAGCGUUGUUCGGAAUUACUGGGCGUAAAGGGCGCGCAGGCGGCUCAUCAAGUCAGGCGUGAAAGCCCCGGGCUUAACCUGGGAGGUGCGUCUGGGACUGGUGGGCUAGAGAUCGGGGGAGGAGAGUGGAAUUCCCAGUGUAGAGGUGAAAUUCGUAGAUAUUGGGAAGAACACCGGUGGCGAAGGCGGCUUCCUGGCCUGUUCUUGACGCUGAGGCGCGAAAGCUAGGGGAGCAAACGGG